CCUACGGGAGGCAGCAGUGGGGAAUAUUGGGCAAUGGGCGCAAGCCUGACCCAGCAACGCCGCGUGAAGGAAGAAGGCUUUCGGGUUGUAAACUUCUUUUCUCAGGGACGAAGCAAGUGACGGUACCUGAGGACUAAGCUACGGCUAACUACGUGCCAGCAGCCGCGGUAAUACGUAGGUGGCAAGCGUUAUCCGGAUUUACUGGGUGUAAAGGGCGUGUAGGCGGGGACGCAAGUCAGAUGUGAAAACCACGGGCUCAACCUGUGGCCUGCAUUUGAAACUGUGUUUCUUGAGUGCGGGAGAGGCAGACGGAAUGCCUAGUGUAGCGGUGAAAUGCGUAGAUAUUAGGAGGAACACCAGUGGCGAAGGCGGUCUGCUGGACAGCAACUGACGCUGAGGCGCGAAAGCGUGAGGAGCAAACAGGAUUAGAUACCCCUGUAGUC
rnacentral:rRNA from 1 species